UUGGUCCUCUUUUUUCAUGCCACCUAAAUUUCACUCUCAAUUUCUUCUUUCACUUCCAUUCAUUUUCACAUUGACCACGGUUUCCCACUUCGCCAAUCCCUUUGAGUCUUUGCCCCUUACCUAUUACCCAUUAGGGCUUACUUCUUCUUCUUCCUUUCAUUUCCUUUUUCCUAGUCCUAAGAGAGAAGAUCUAGUUGGUACUCUUCUUCUUCUCACUGUUUAUUCCCACCUUUUUUUUUGUAUUUUUCUUUUUAUUUUUUGCUUUGCCUUUUUUUUUUUUUUUUCUUUUGAUUUCUGGGUUUAUGCUCUUUUUUCCUUGUUGGAGAGAAGAAUUUCUAGUUGGGUAUUGAUAGUUUUCUAUGUGGGAUUAGAUUUUUAGUGGGAUUUUGACCAAUUUCCUGAAGCUGGUUUUCUGGGUCUUCGUUUUUUUUUUGGGGGAGCAGCUACAUGGAGAUUCAGGUUUAUGGUUUGCUAAUGGUGGAGUUUGAGCUUGAGAUUUGAGGGUUUUUCUUUGGACCUGAUUUCUAUCUUGGGGGUUUUCACUUCGGCUGAGCAAAAGGAAAGGGGUAUGUCAUCUGCGCUUCUUGAAUUGUUUUGAUUUUGUUGCAUUCGUGGUAUUGUUACAUCGUAUGCUGAAGUGGUUUGACUUUAUUAAGUGUUUGGGAAAACUCAUUAUUUGGAUUUAGCAGAAGGGUUUUAAAUUGGGUCUGAGGUUAAAUUUUGAGAUUUGGGUUGCAGAGAAAGCGUGCUGGUCUUUGAAGUUGAAUUUUGAAGUUCUGGGUAUAGUUUUGAAGCUUAACAAUGGUUUGACUUUGUGUGACAUCGGAAAAAAGUGGUAUUUCGAGAUCAAAUUAAGCCUUUUAAAAUGGAUAACUCGAAGAAUAGGCAUAAUGAUCAUUUGGGUGUGAACAAAAUGGGAAAAAAUAUUAGAAAGAGUCCGCUGCAUCAACCCAACUUUAACAACAACAACAACAGUAACAACAACAACAACAACAACAAUGCUGCCAGGCAACAACCGCAGCCUCAGGUUUACAACAUAAGCAAGAAUGAUUUCCGUAACAUUGUCCAGCAGCUCACUGGUUCACCAUCACAAGAACCUUUGCCUAGACCCCCACAGAAUCCGCCUAAACCUCAGAGUAUGCGGUUGCAGAAGAUAAGGCCUCCCCCUUUAUCACCCAUCAACCGGCCGCUUAUCCCUCCUCCUGCCCCUGUUCCCGCUCCUGCUCCCGCUCAAGCCCCUCAUGCCCCGGCCCCUGUUCCAUACAACAAUAGCUUAGUUAGGCCUCCUCAUUUUGGACAACCACCACCGCAGAUGAUGCAACCAUUGCCAUCGGGAGAUUCUGGUUGGGCUAAUACAGCUGAAUCUCCCAUUACAGCUUAUAUGCGAUACCUUCAAAGCUCAAUGCUGGAUCUCACUCCAAGGGGAUAUACAGGUCAACAACCCUCACCACAGCCGCAGCCACAGGUUCCAGGGCACAUUCCAGCUCAACCACUAUCUUCUGGUUUACUUCCUAACCCCACAAUGCCUCCUGUUCCUCCUCCAAGAAUGCCUGGUCCUCCACAAGUGGGUGGCCCUGCCCUUUUCCCGUCACCAACUUCGCAGUUUCUACUGCCAUCGCCAACUGGUUACUUGAAUUUGUUGUCGCCACGGUCCCCUUAUCCGCUACUUUCGCCUGGGAUUCAGUUUCCUCCACCACUGACUCCUAAUUUUGCCUUUUCACCCAUGGCCCAAUCAGGGAUUUUAGGUCCAGGGCCUCAGCCCCCACCUUCUCCUGGUCUUGUAUUUCCUUUAUCCCCUUCAGGGUUUUACCCCAUCUCAAGUCCAAGAUGGAGGGACCAAUAGUUGCUGCCAUAGUUUUAAUGUUUGAGAGCUCGAUGCCGACUCAGGAGCUCUUUCUGUAUGUGGAAUAAUCUUCUUCUCCUUGUUUUGAAUUACUGAUUCUGUACUUGGACAAGUUUCACAUUAGGCGAUAUAGUGAAGAUCAGACAACUCAUCUGGACAAUUGGACAGAAGCUGUAAGAUUAAAGGAGGUAGGAUUACAGACAUCAAAUAUGUAGGCUGUUUAUUAUAAAAUUCUUGUACUUUUACAAUGUUUUGGUUUAGAUCUUAGUCUGAAGUUAUUUUAUUCUUCAUGUAAUUUGCAUGUGAAAGAAAUUCUAAUAGUUAGUUGGUUUCUCUUUUUUGGACCUUAUUUUAUGCAAUGAACCAAUUAUUUUGUUUGCCA